rnacentral:rRNA from 1 species
UACGGGGGGAGCAAGCGUUGUUCGGAUUUACUGGGCGUAAAGGGCGCGUAGGCGGCCUGUGCAAGUCAGUUGCGAAAUCUCCGAGCUUAACUCGGAACGGUCAACUGAUACUGCUCGGCUAGAGUGCGGAAGGGGCAACUGGAAUUCUUGGUGUAGCGGUGAAAUGCGUAGAUAUCAAGAGGAACACCUGCGGCGAAGGCGGGUUGCUGGGCCGACACUGACGCUGAGGCGCGAAAGCUAGGGGAGCGAACGGG